rnacentral:rRNA from 1 species
AUUCCAGCUCCAAUAGCGUAUAUUAAAGUUGUUGUGGUUAAAAAGCUCGUAGUUGGAUCUCGGCGGACUGAGGGCGGUUUGCUUGCUAGUAUUACUGCCCUAUAGUCCGUAGUUUUGCCAGAGGUUUCGAGGUGCUCUUAAUCGAGUGUCCCGGGAUGCUGGCAGGUUUACUUUGAAAAAAUUAGAGUGCUCAAAGCAGGCUAUUACGCCUGAAUAUUCGUGCAUGGAAUAAUAGAAUAGGACUACGGUCUCUUUGUUGGUUUGAGGGACUGCAGUAAUGAUUAAUAGGGAUAGUUGGGGGCAUUAGUAUUUAAUUGUCAGAGGUGGAAUUCUCGGAUUUGUUAAAGACUAACUUAUGCGAAAGCAUUUGCCAAGGAUGUUUUCAUCG